ACUCCUACGGGAGGCAGCAGUGGGGAAUAUUGCACAAUGGGCGCAAGCCUGAUGCAGCCAUGCCGCGUGUAUGAAGAAGGCCUUCGGGUUGUAAAGUACUUUCAGCAGUGAGGAAGGCGGGUACGUUAAUAGCGUGCUUGUUUGACGUUAGCUGCAGAAGAAGCACCGGCUAACUCCGUGCCAGCAGCCGCGGUAAUACGGAGGGUGCGAGCGUUAAUCGGAAUUACUGGGCGUAAAGCGCAUGCAGGCGGCCUGUUAAGUCAGAUGUGAAAGCCCGGGGCUUAACCUCGGAAUUGCAUUUGAAACUGGCAGGCUAGAGUCUUGUAGAGGGGGGUAGAAUUUCAGGUGUAGCGGUGAAAUGCGUAGAGAUCUGAAGGAAUACCAGUGGCGAAGGCGGCCCCCUGGACAAAGACUGACGCUCAGAUGCGAAAAGCGUGGGGAGCAAACAGGAUUAGAUACCCUGGUAGGAUAGCG
rnacentral:rRNA from 1 species